UUUCAAAACCUUUCAAACUCAUUCAAAUAACCAUUUACAAUCCAUUACAUUGUCCAUUCCAUGAGAAAAAAAUACAAAAAAUGAACUUUGACCAAAUGUUGACUUUGGUCAAUAUUUGACUUUUUGCUCAACUUUGACCAAAGUCAACUUAAUCAUUUUACAACCCAAAGUCCUAAAUCCUAUUCAUAACCUCCCAAAUUCCUACUUGAUAUUUUCCAUUUGUUAUGGAUAUUUCAAAUUUCAAACUUGAUGUCUUUCAUCUUUGCCGGCCUUGUACAUAAUUCACCUCAUGUGUGCACGACCAUGUGCUGCCAAACCAUGCCAUAGGUAGAUAAUAAGGGAAGCCCCGCCAGCAUUAAAUUCAAAAUCAGAUCAGAAUCAAAUAUAUGCUACAACAAUGCAUGUGACCUAGCUGCAAUGCAAACCUAAACCAGAAUUGAACUUAUGCAAACCAUGCCAAAAUGCAGAACUUAGCAAAACAAGGCAAGGCAUGAAAUGCAAUCACAAUGCAUGUGACCUAGCUGCAAUGCAAACCUAAACCAGAAUUGAACUUAUGCAAACCAUGCCAAAAUGCAGAACUUAGCAAAACAAGGCAAGGCAUGAGAUGCAAUCACAAGUCAUGAC
rnacentral:lncRNA from 1 species